ensembl:misc_RNA Metazoa_SRP Metazoan signal recognition particle RNA
GCCAGGCAUGGUGGUGCAUGCCUGUAAUCCCAGCUACCUGUGAGGCUGAGGCAGGAGAAUCGCUUGAACCCAGGAGGCAGAGGCUGCAGUGAGCCGAGAUCACACCACUGCACUCCAGCCUGGGUGACAGAGCGAGACUCCGUCUCAA